CAUUCUCCCUGAUGUCAACAUUUGGCAUAGCGUUGCUACAUCGGAAAUUUGUAGGAGAGGGUAAUUUCAAAUCAUAUAUUGGAUAUUAUUUAUAAAAUGGUGGAUUUCAUAAAUGCUGAAUGAAGAGGCAUAUAACACAAAAACUUAAUGUUCGCAUCCAAAUUGACUCAAGCCCAUUUUUGAAAUUAUGUAGCCGCCAAAGUUUUCCAGGCCAUCGAACUCAAUAUCACUCAGCGCGGUCAUGCGAUCCAAAAAAUUAUUGGCUUCUUCCUGUUCUUGAAGCUACAACAGAUAUGUAUACGGAUGUUUGCAAUAUAAUCUAUAUUUAAAGUAAUAAAAGUAGACGAUUUUCUACCUCGAUAUGUUCUGCUGGUGACAAGGGAA
rnacentral:lncRNA from 1 species